AUAGUUUGAUCAUGGCUCAGAUUGAACGCUGGCGGCAUGCCUUACACAUGCAAGUCGAACGGUAACAGGUCUUCGGAUGCUGACGAGUGGCGAACGGGUGAGUAAUACAUCGGAACGUGCCCGAGAGUGGGGGAUAACGAGGCGAAAGCUUUGCUAAUACCGCAUACGAUCUCAGGAUGAAAGCAGGGGACCGCAAGGCCUUGCGCUCACGGAGCGGCCGAUGGCAGAUUAGGUAGUUGGUGGGAUAAAAGCUUACCAAGCCGACGAUCUGUAGCUGGUCUGAGAGGACGACCAGCCACACUGGGACUGAGACACGGCCCAGACUCCUACGGGAGGCAGCAGUGGGGAAUUUUGGACAAUGGGCGCAAGCCUGAUCCAGCCAUGCCGCGUGCAGGAUGAAGGCCUUCGGGUUGUAAACUGCUUUUGUACGGAACGAAAAGACUCUGGUUAAUACCUGGGGUCCAUGACG
rnacentral:rRNA from 1 species